rnacentral:tmRNA from 1 species
GGGGCAGUACUGGUUUCGACAGGGGCUAUGCAGCUGGUGAAGCUAUCCGUAUGCGAUGCGUCAAAUGGCAAACCUAAAUAUAAACGCUAACAAUAAUAAAUUAGCUUUAGCAGCGUAAGCUGCUUGUCGGCCUUAAGGCACUCACACUUUAAGAUCCCGGCAUCGACUAUGUGAGAAACGACGUGUACAAAGCUUUGAGUACACGGACGUAUUAUGAAGCUACUGAAGCUGUAAGGGUGUCAGUUCCCGUGCAGCGGAGGGAAUGUCAAUAGACUGACUAUGAUAGUAGAAGAACAGGGAAUUGGUUUUUGGACACGGGUUCAACUCCCGUCUGCUCCACUA